CCUACGGGCGGCAGCAGUGGGGAAUAUUGGACAAUGGGGGGAACCCUGAUCCAGCCAUGCCGCGUGUGUGAAGAAGGCCCUCGGGUUGUAAAGCACUUUCAGUGAGGAAGAACGCCUGGUGGUUAAUACCCAUCAGGAAAGACAUCACUCACAGAAGAAGCACCGGCUAACUCCGUGCCAGCAGCCGCGGUAAUACGGAGGGUGCGAGCGUUAAUCGGAAUUACUGGGCGUAAAGCGCGCGUAGGUGGCUUGAUAAGCCGGUUGUGAAAGCCCCGGGCUCAACCUGGGAACGGCAUCCGGAACUGUCAAGCUAGAGUGCAGGAGAGGAAGGUAGAAUUCCCGGUGUAGCGGUGAAAUGCAUAGAGAUCGGGAGGAAUACCAGUGGCGAAGGCGGCCUUCUGGACUGACACUGACACUGAGGUGCGAAAGCGUGGGUAGCAAACAGGAUUAGAUACCCUUGUAGUC
rnacentral:rRNA from 1 species